GAUGAACGCUGGCGGCGUGCCUAAUACAUGCAAGUCGAGCGAACGGACGAUAAGCUUUCUUCUCUGAUGUUAGCGGCUGACGGGUGAGUAACACGUGGAUAACCUACCUAUAAUACUGGGAUAACUUCGGGAAACCGGAUCUAAUACCGGAUGAUAUUUUGAACCGCAUUGUUCAAAAGUGAAAGACGGUCUUUCUGUCUCUUUUAGAUGGUUCCGCGCUGCAUUAGCUAGUUGGUAAGGUAACGGCUUACCAAGGCAACGAUGCAUAGCCGACCUGAGAGGGUGAUCGGCCACACUGGAACUGAGACACGGUCCAGACGCCUACGGGAGGCAGCAGUAGGGAAUAUUGGGCAAUGGGCGAAAGCAUGACGGAGCAACGCCGCGUGAGUGAUGAAGGUCUUCGGAUCGUAAAACUCUGUUAUUAGGGAAGAACAGAUGUGUAAGUAAACGUGGACAUAUUGACGGUACCUAAUAAGAAAGCAACGGCUAACUACGUG
rnacentral:rRNA from 1 species